rnacentral:rRNA from 1 species
AUUGAACGCUGGCGGCAGGCCUAACACAUGCAAGUCGAGCGCGCGGCGGACGGGUGAGUAAUGUAUGGGGACUGCCCGAUAGAGGGGGAUAACUACUGGAGACGGUAGCUCAUACCGCAUACUACCGGAUUGCCCAUAUGGGAUUAGCUAGUAGGUGGGGUAAUGGCUCACCUAGGCGACGCUCCCUAGCUGGUCUGAGAGGAUGAUCAGCCACACUGGUACUGAGACACGGUCCAGACUCCUACGGAGGCAGCAGUGGGGAAUAUUGCACAAUGGGCGGAAGCCUGAUGCAGCCAUGCCGAGUGUAUGAAGAAGGCCUUAGGGUUGUAAAGUACUUUCAGUGGGGAGGCGUUACCGACAGAAGAAGCACCGGCUAACUCCGUGCCAGUAGCCGCGGUAAUAC